CAUUCUAUAAGGGCACAAGGCGAGACCCAGAUGCAGAAACAGGAGGCAGAUGGUUAAAGUCCAAGAUGUUUAUUAACAAUCCAAAAGGGGUAGGCAAGAGAAUGGUCAUAGACAGGCAAAAGGUCAAAACCGGGAGGACUAGUAGAAGAGAAUAGAAAAGUAGGAGCACGGGGGAAAAACACGCUGGUUGACUUGAAAAUACAAGACGAACUGGCACAGAGAGACAGGAAACACAGGGAUAAAUAUACCAGGGAUUUUAAGCGCCACCGGCGGGGGGGGCGGUGGAGACAAUCACAAGGACAGGUGAAACGGAUCAGGGUGUGACACAUUCAGUGCCUUCUUGGUCAUCUGGGCGGGGCCUGUGGAUGAGCUGAUUGCUCAUGGGACAGUGUAAGUUCUACGACCCGCUGGGUCUUUUGGCUGAAUUCAGUCGGUGCAUCGCCUCCAUACUCUGCAGUUCUUCAAGAGGAACAAGCCAGACUCGACAACGAUUCAAUCAACCUCCUGCUAACAGUUCUGUCCAGAGACUGUACUUUGUUGUUAUGAGACCCUAUAAUUGUGAUUCUAUAAUGUAAUUCUAUGAUGAAAACAACCUCUAUCCUAUCUGCUCAAUGUUGACCAGUCUGAAAUGACCAGAUAGGUGUGUAAGCAACACAGUGUUCAUUUCUUGCACCAACACUCGCACUUGUCUUUUCUUACUAGCAGUGACUUUGCUGAUUAGUCAUUUUUCCUGAAUGAAGUAGUUAUGAUAUGUGGUGUCUCACCUUGCUACCUUAAAGGACAGUUCCUCCACUUUUCAACCUCGUAUUCAUCAUCUCCAGCACCAUACCAGUGUCUACAUAUGUGAAAACGGCACAUUUCUGUGGUUAAAAAGACGAGAAGAAAAGUCCUAAAAAAUGCUUCUCUGUGACACAACAGGGUAGGAUUAAAAGUUAGAAAAAGAUUUUCAAAACCUGCAACAAGUUUCUAGCAAGAGGGAUGGUAUUUUCUUGCUCCCCAUGACACCAUGUCAUCGUGUAUAACUUUAUAAAUGUAUAUAUCUUUUCUACAAAAUGUAGAAACGCGCUGUUUUUACAAAUGUAGACAAUGGAAUUGUGCUGGAGUAAUGAAAAUGAGAUUGAAAAGUGGUGGAGUUGCUCUUUUAAGAGGAAUGCACUAACUGUAAGUCGCUCUAGAUAAGAGUGUUUGCUAAAUGACUAAAAUGCUGUUUUAUUUCCCUAUUCUCACUUAAAAUAAAAGUCCUCAUCCUUAA